UACGAAGGUGGCAAGCGUUAAUCGGAAUUACUGGGCGUAAAGCGUGCGCAGGCGGUUGUGCAAGACCGAUGUGAAAUCCCCGGGCUUAACCUGGGAAUGGCAUUGGUGACUGCACGGCUAGAGUGUGUCAGAGGGGGGUAGAAUUCCACGUGUAGCAGUGAAAUGCGUAGAGAUGUGGAGGAAUACCGAUGGCGAAGGCAGCCCCCUGGGAUAACACUGACGCUCAUGCACGAAAGCGUGGGGAGCAAACAGG
rnacentral:rRNA from 1 species